rnacentral:misc_RNA from 1 species
GAUGAAGAACGCAGCGAAAUGCGAUAAGUAAUGUGAAUUGCAGAAUUCAGUGAAUCAUCGAAUCUUUGAACGCACCUUGCGCCCUUUGGCCAUUCCGAAGGGCAUGCCUGUUUGAGUAUCAUGAACACCUCAACUCUUUAUGGUUUUCCAUGAUGAGCUUGGACUCUGGGGGUUUUGCUGGCUCACAGUCGGCUCCUCUAAAAUGAAUUAGCUUACCAGUGUUUGGUGGGUAUCAUGGGUGUGAUAACUAUCUACGCUUGUGGUUUUUCCACCAGGUAACCUUCAGCAGUGGAGGUUCGCUGGAGCUCAUAGAUGUCUCUCCUCAGUGAGGACAGCCCUUUGAAUGUUUGAUCUCAAAUCAGGUAGGACUACCCGCUGAACUUAAGCAUAUCAAUAAGCGGAGGA